GUGCUCACUUCAGGAGUACAUAUAUUAAAAUUGGGACAAUACAGAGAUGAAUAAGAAUAGCCUGUCUCCUUCUCAAAGAAGAUGUAAAUUUGUGAAGAUUCCUAUAUAUAU
rnacentral:snRNA from 1 species